GGGAAAAACAGUGUGAAAUUCUCGUGAAGAAGAUGUGGGAUAUAAGUUCUGUUGCAGGAAAUUGAGUUACUUGCAAAUAGAAGAAACUGAGGAAAAAAGGCCAAAACACGCACAAAAAUAACUUUGGAAUUACGCGUGGACGUUAUCCUAGCAGAGUACAAUAGCUAAGGAAAUUACCAGAUAUAUUGCCGUUUACCCUCGUUCCCGCAGUACCUUCAUAGAUCCUUACCAUGACAGUAGAGCCAACCUUUAACGUGACAAUAAACAACUCAGAUCAAAGUGUUAUCAAAGAAACCUCUGUGGCUCAAAAUUCGUCAAGGCUUUUUGGAUGACAGUGCUCGACCCUAUGAAUGGAAAUAUUUCUGGAACAGCGAUGAAACAGCUUCGUAAUUCCCUUAAACUUGCAAACUCUUCAACCCUAGUUUAUUUCAUCUGCAUAGAUUUCUCGGAGAUAUUUUCCAUCGUAUUCCGGCUAUUUUUUUUUGGCCUCGAUUAAGCUGAAAUUUAGUUUAAAUGUCAUUUCUGAAAAUAAGAAAAAUCAAGAACAUAAAAUCAUGUUUC